AUUGAACGCUGGCGGCAGGCCUAACACAUGCAAGUCGAGCGAGCGGCGGACGGGUGAGUAAUGGAUGGGGACUGCCCGAUAGAGGGGGAUAACUACUGGAAAAGGUGGCUAAUACCGCAUACUGUCGGAUGACCCAGAUGGGAUUAGCUAGUCGGUAAGGUAAUGGGGUACCUAGGCGACGAUCCCUAGCUGGUCUGAGAGGAAGAUCAGCCACACUGGGACGGAGACACGGCCCAGACUCCUACGGAGGCAGCAGUGGGGAAUAUUGCACAAUGGGCGCAAGCCUGAUGCAGCCAUGCCGCGUGUAUGAAGAAGGCCUUAGGGGUGUAAAGUACUUUCAGUCGGGAGGCGUUACCGACAGAAGAAGCACCGGCUAACUACGUGCCAGCAGCCGCGGUAAUAC
rnacentral:rRNA from 1 species